GUCUACAGACAUUCCGCCCUGAAUGCGCCUUAUCUAGGAAGCUAAGCAGGGUCAGGCCUAGUCAGUACCUGGAAAAGAGACAAGAGAGGAAAUAAAUCAUGGUGAAUA
ensembl:rRNA 5S_rRNA 5S ribosomal RNA